UUGUUCUAAAUUUCCGUCUUUUCCAUGAGUAAUUGUUACAGAAAAAAAAUGAAACUUUUGCAGAUAACCUCCCAUGAAACUUCUACAUUUCAUACAAAAAUCCUUUGCUAUAUGAUAAUUGUCCACACCUUUUACAAAUCUAAUUGUGGUUAGAAACAAAGACUGCCCAUAGAAUUUUAGUAAAAGAAUGAUGAAUAUUCUGUAAACACCCCUCCUCAACAGUCAACAAUUGGUUGUCCAAACCUGAAAUUCAUACCAAUGCAUCAUGCAUCAAAACGUAAACAGGAAACAACCCAGUGGAUGAGCAGGUUGUGAAUGCAGGCGAAGCAGGACAGUGCAAAUGAUGCAGGGACAUGGCAAGUAGGAUUGAUGUGCCCAAUGUUUUCCGCCAUUUGUAGUCCACAAAUGAAACCUUUCAAACGAAUCCCACCCUCUAUAUCUUGUCACUUGAAUCGCAUUUAAUAUGAGCUUGGCAAUUGACUGGAGAGAAAAAGAAAAAAAAAGAAGAAAAGCUGAUGAUGGAUGGUUGCUUCCUACGUCUUGGAGGCUGGCAUAGAAUAAGCUCCAACUUAAGCCAGGCCUACGGCGCCACAGAAUCUCAGCUGCUUCUUCCACAGUAGUAGGUUCCAAAGUGAAGCAAAAAAGGAGAAAAAUGCAGCUAGAGACAGGAUCUGCAAUAAAUCAACAAACAACCAACAAAGUGUCUGCCAGCUCCGGGACAAAUGCAAAGAGACGAACUAGCUUAUCACAAGAAGCCAAGCACAAUUCCAACAAAAUCUAACCAUGAGUCGGGACAGUCCUGAGUAGUGUUGACAAGAGGCGAUGGCCUCAGAGUUGAUUCAAAAGUGCCCAGAAAUGGGCUCAGUUGUCUGUGUCCCCCGACCAAACCUCUNNN
rnacentral:lncRNA from 1 species